rnacentral:lncRNA from 1 species
GAGUCAGCCUUGCACCAGGGCGCUGAGGUUACCACUCUGACCCAGGGGCUGCAAAUUCACCUCCCUGGGACUGUCCUCGUACCACUGGUGGCACAUCCACCAGUAAUUCACUGAGAGCUGCAACAACAAUGAACAGAAACGCAGCAGAAAAUCCAGAGUGAAAUCAGGGAACCUUGGGCUGAGGACAUCAGUUACGUGACAAGGACAUUUUCGCUCCUGCAUCACCUGAGAUUGCUACAGGCCACCAGCCCGUGGCACUCUACUUCAGUUGUUCCUCUCCUGGGAUGGAAUUCUGGCUCCAUUAAGUCUACGGCAAACUCUUGGUUGACUUCGCCGGGGCCACAAUGCUCAGCUGGAGGAGGUGAAGCUCAGGGAAGGCAGCAGCAUCACAAGUCCAUCUCAUCACAGCCAGGCACCCCUAUCGCACACGUAGCCCAACUGCACGGACCGAUCCAAAAGUUGGAGUGUUCAAAUGUUCUGAAAUAGUGUUUCUAGGAACGCCCAGCAACUUGCACCUAAUCCCAGCACACUCAAACAUCAGAAAGCCCACAGUUUUUUAUUGUCUUCUGGGGUUUCAGAAUGGUGUAGAACACAUUUUUAUAAGUGGGAUCUAAGUGAUGGUGGUUUUCCUGACCAUGAAGCUAAUUGAAGUAAAUAGUUUAACCACAGUUUUUAUUAUUUCAAAACGGUUAUAAACUUUGAAUACAAGCAUUUCUUUCUGCUCUAACCUCAGGCUUUUCCCUUAGCCCCUUCUGGUGCUUGGUUAUUUUAACGUUGUCUUCUCUUACACAAGAUCUCUGCUUUAUAUUCAUGAAAGAGAAAUCAAUAGCUGUUUUCUUGACUUUCCAUUGAAAUAAUCCAUAUGGGGGUUCAGCUGUGAUCACACUUUCAGUAUGAGAUCUCCUCUGCGUGGUGGCAGCAGUAUGCAAACCUCAGCAGACAUCUCUGCAUUUCCAUCAUUCAGAACUCCUCGCUGCACAGUGCUAUCUAUCGCCAUUGCACUUCACACAAAAAAAGGUCAGAGAAUUGUUUCCUAAAGAGAAAACAAAAAGGAUUAAAAUAUGAACUGUCAGUAGGAGUGCAGCAAACCCCGCAGGUUUCCAUUGCACAGAUGUGCUCCCGCAAAGAUGGGCGAACGGCGCAGCCCGGCUGACACGGUGCAGGCAGGAGGCACAGCAGCACUGCCUCGUGCAGCCUUCCUGCCUGCCUUGCUGUGCAUCUCCUUUCAGCACAGGCAUGAAAGCAUGGCUGCUGGUUUGGGGACCUCCUGUCACGGCCCUGUCAGCACAGAUGUGCAGGAGUUGCCUGGCGCGGGGCUCUGCUGAAGGCCGAAUGCUGCAGGCAAUGCCGCGCUCCUCCUUUAGCUCUGCUCCCACGCAGAGGCCAAAUACAGCUCCUGAAUCAAAAGCGACACGGGAGAUGACUUCCCCUGCAGUCAGAAAGCAGCUCUGCGGGGGGUUGGCCAUGCUGAACCUGUGUCAUCCAUGCCACCCAAAUUUCUGAGCCUCUGCCCAUUGUGCGAGCUCUGAAAGCAUGACGCUGCAC